rnacentral:lncRNA from 1 species
AAAGCUUAUUUUUUAUUUUUUUAACCCAUUAUCAGGCUUUUGGUAUUCUAUAUAUAUAAUUAUAAAGCUAUUUCACUGGUUUGAUUUACAUAUUUCAGUCAUGUUAUUUGUCUAGCCUUCAAUCAGAAUAGCCUCCCCACCGGUUCCGAAGAUUCUUUCGGCAUCACAAUGUGCUUUUGGAAUCUUCCUAUGAAACAAAUAACAUUCUGGAACAGUUUAGGACAGAACAGGCC